UGCUCGAAUAACCCAAUUGUUUAUAUGUUUGACUAAAAAAGCUUGCAGAGCCCCAUUCCUUUCCCUCUUGAUGUAUUCUAGGUAAUUUGUAUGGACAAUACCUACAACACGGUUGAAUCUAUCAGUCCAUCGCUUACCANUGCCAUGGUGAUACCAAUUUAAAUGUUCUGGUUCUUCCAGGAUGGCAAUGUCAGCAUCUUUUGAUGGAAUAAACUGAGAAGUAUCUCCAGCAGGGAUUAUGCUUCUCCGUGAUUUUGAGAACUUUCCUGGAUAAAAUGAUAUUUUAAAAUCAGCCUUAAAGCCAAUCCUAUCCUCAAGCCAGUUCCGGAUAUAAUUCUCCUGCUCUUCUGGUGAACUAAAAGUGAGAUUGUUGGGAUAAACUAAUUCUUGAUCUGACUUGCAAAGCCAUGGAACCAGUAAAGUGACCUUUCGUUUUUCAGACUUUGAUAAAUAUGCUGCUCGAAAGAGUGGAUUUACAGCUGUGCCGGUCAUCCAAGGAAGACUAGCAGUUGUGACAAUGGCAACAUGCCUCUUCCCGUCCGAUGGGUUAUGCUUUGAUGAGUCUGUCCAAAAACCACCCUCAUAACAAUGCCCUGUACUUUGAAGGACACUUGCUAUCCUUAAAUCCAAUUCAUCAUUCACAUUCUGAUUAUCAAAGAAAGAGGAUUCCCCUGUAGAAAGUGAGCGCUGUAAAAGUUGAUUCUUGCGUUUACUACACAAACUUUCAACUAUCUUGUCACAUAUAUCUCUUCUAACCCCAAGCUGAUCCAAAAAUGGCCCAGAUUGCCUAACAAAAUAUGCCAACAAUUCUGGUACAUCCAGUGGCGGUACUUCCUUUGACUCUUGAGGCUCCCGGAGUGCUUUCAAGCUGGAUUUCAAUUUCUCCACAAACUCAUUAUUCUUGAAGCCCCCAAAAAUCUCCACGGACUCGCUCUUUUUCUCCAACUCCCUGAAUCCCCUUUUCAAGGCCCUUAUCGGCUCCCAUUCCCCAAAUUGACCUCCUUCCUCUUUCCACUCUCCCCAAAACUCCCUAAACUUAACAGACCUCCUCCUUCUCCUAACCCUAUCGAAUUCCACAAUCCCAUUUCUAUCCCCAUCUUCCAUCUCCGCCACAAUUGCGUUCCUUAUAGCCGACAAAUCAAUCCCUAGCUUAGCCUUGGGCCCCCACUUCUCCAAUACUCUCUUGCUAAUCUCCGGUGCUGAGUAAACCCUCCUAAACUCCGAAAUCUUAGGCUGCAAUUUCUUCACAAAAUCAAUAUCCGUCGGCGUAGAGGACCUGAAGGAGCGUACUGAGAAGGAAGUGGAGGCGGAAUUGAAGAAAUUCUCAAGCUCUCGAUCGAAGGAGUUAGCGAGGUUCUUGAACG
rnacentral:misc_RNA from 1 species